CGAGCAUGGAUUAAUGAUCACCAACAUGAGGAGAUCAUAAGGAUGGAUAGCAUGUCUACGGGCUCAAGUAUGGAGGCUAACGGGUCAAAAGGAAGCAUGGAACCUAUGCUUGAACUUGGGCGCACAAGGUAGUACGAAUCACAGAUUUUCAUCACAAGGAGUAGCGAUCAAAGACCGAGUCACAAGUCAGAUUGUACGGGAAUACUUGACUAUGUAAAUUGAUAGU